GUGGAUCCUACAUGGGGAAAACAAAAAAACAACAUAAAAAUACAGGAAACAAGCCACCAGAUCAAAUAUAGCAAGCCAAAAUAAACCAUGGUGGAUGAACCAUAUGCCAAGCAGUCAAAUAGAAUUUAUUUCAGGGUUCAUUUAGAUAGGUGUCCAUUUGGAAUGAAGGUGGAUUUAGAUUUGUGUUUCAAAUGUAAAAUCAUUAAAAACCAACAUAAUGUCAAAUUAAAAUAC
rnacentral:misc_RNA from 1 species